UACGUAGGGUGCAAGCGUUGUCCGGAAUUAUUGGGCGUAAAGAGCUCGUAGGUGGCCUGUCGCGUCGGCUGUGAAAACUCGGGGCUCAACUCCGAGCUUGCAGUCGAUACGGGCAGGCUAGAGUUCGGCAGGGGAGACUGGAAUUCCUGGUGUAGCGGUGAAAUGCGCAGAUAUCAGGAAGAACACCUAUGGCGAAGGCAGCUCUCUGGGACGGUACUGACGCUGAGACGCGAAAGCGUGGGGAGCGAACAGG
rnacentral:rRNA from 1 species